GCGGGAGUAGCUCAGUUUGGUAGAGCAGCGGCCUUCCAAGCCGCUGGUCGCGGGUUCGAGUCCCGUCUCCCGCU
rnacentral:tRNA from 1 species